GUGACAUUGCACACACGUAAGCGCCAUCUUUGAUAUGGGCAAGGGGUUUUUCUUUAUUAGAAAUGGAACCGGCUUCUGUUAAUGCCACACACGCCGGGGACCGAGAUGGAAGGAGGUCGGGUCUUGAUCUGCCGCUGGUGAGAUGAGUGCUUGUUAUUUCUGUCAGCAUGACCACUGGCUUUCAGUGUGGUCACACUGACAGAAAC